rnacentral:lncRNA from 1 species
AAGACAUAAAAUCACUAUUAAAAUGUGUUGCUUCAUCAAAUAAUUUUUUUCUAAAAUCAUCAUACAAAGGACACGAUAAAAUAACAUGGGCUUCAUCUUCUAAAAUAUUCAUACAAUUAUCACAGACUCGAUCUUUUAAAAUUAAUUUUUCAAAUCUCCCCGUUUCUAUUCUUAGUGGUGCUACACCACAUCGAAAUUUGGCAAAAGAAAUCCUUUGCGAAAAUGGCAUUGGAAUUUUACAGUAAGUUUCCGUUUCAAAACUGUUCUUAAAUUAAUUAUAUGUACGAAGUUUGUUACCACCUUUACCAGAUAAAGCUUUCUCUGAUUGUAAAUUGCCUUGCCACUGUUCGACAUAUUUACUAAACAUUUUAGACAUAACAGUAUUGACAACUGAGGUACUAUCAACAUAAUCUGUAAUGAUACACAAAUGUUCUGCAUUAUACUCAGAAAACGUUUUCCUUACAUAAAAUUCCAAUUUUUUAUACACUUAUGUUUUUUUACUCAUAAUGUCUGCCCAUAUGAAAAUUUUUCUGUUUAAACGAUCAGAACUCAUAUUGUUCAAACGGCACCAUAGUCGAAUUAAGCAUUGCCAUUGUUUUUGAAA